rnacentral:rRNA from 1 species
UACAGAGACUGCAAGCGUUAUUCGGAUUCACUGGGCGUAAAGGGUGCGCAGGCGGUCGGGUGUGUCAGAUGUGAAAUCCCGAGGCUCAACCUCGGAACUGCGUCUGAAACUACUCGACUAGAGUACUGGAGAGGGAAACGGAAUUCACGGUGUAGCAGUGAAAUGCGUAGAUAUCGUGAGGAACACCAGAGGCGAAGGCGGUUUCCUGGACAGUUACUGACGCUCAGGCACGAAAGCAUGGGGGAGCAAACAGG